GGGCAGGUAAGCGCGCGGGGGGUGAUGGGAGGAGGUCCGGCUUUCAGGGCGGAGGUCAGGGGUCACCGAGCGCCUGGGGGAGGACGAGGAGAGGCGGUGCGCGGACGCGCUGCGAGAGGCCAGGAGGUGAGGGGACGAGGGAAUAAACCCGAAGUUUCUGUGACUUUCCCAAGGUCACAGGGGAGACCUAUGUGCUGUCUACCGCUACGCACAACUUUCCUGUAAUUCCGUCUGCUCCCGUGAGGUUGGCUACACUCCCAAGUAUUGUUGUAAGGAACUGGUUUGACUCCUCCACACAAACACCCCCUCACCCCAUGCCUUCACAAGAAGAACUAAUGGCCCUGGAAAAGGUAACAGAACGUUCAGUGGGACUCUGCUUGAAUUUGAGGACUGAUUAAUAUAACCAGCGAUGGAUACAGUGCCUGUGGAGCCUGGGCACCUCUACAUUUUGAGGAAAGGUGUUUUACUUUUAAGACAGAAAAUUGUAUUUUGUUAAGGUAAGAAUUAGAGUUGUCUUAUUGAUGCACAGAAGUUCAAAGAAGGGUGCUCAGGGAACUGAAGAGCCAAAGGGCUCUCUUGCUUGUAUCUCUGUGCUGUUGCUCAAGCUCUUCUUUGAACCUGUAAGUGUCUCUUAUCCUCUCAAAUCUGAGUCACAGCUUGUUUCACCAUGAGGUUUCUUCCAGCUGCCCUACUCUACAGUGAUUUUUUUCUUCUCAUGGCCUUGAAGAACUUGACUGUAUCACACAUUUAACACCUAAUUAUAUUCUGAAUGUAAUUUUCCUCCUAUUACUUGUUGUAUUCCCCUGCCCCUCCACCAGCACCAGUCCACUUGAUCCUGAGCUCUUUUAAGACUGUCUCAUUCCUUCUUUGCAUUAUCCAUCAGAAAUACACACAUGAAUACAUACACAAUUGAAUACCCCUAAAUUAAAUAACUGUCCUUAUUCACUUACUACACUAAUUAAUCUGCUUCUUGCUCCAAAUUCAGUGUUUCAGCUAAUACAAUGUUUCCCAACCUAAUCUAGCUAGAA